UUUUUAUUGGCUCGCCUGUGGUCAACUGUCAAGAUGGCCAAGUCGUCAGACGUCAGGUGCUCACAAUGGAGAGAAAAAUGAAGAAGAAAAUGAUAGCAGAGAUGCAAGAGACUUUAUGGCCAGGAAACAUCUUCAUUUCUAUCAUCAGAUGUAACGGCAAGCAAAACUGCAGUUUUAAGUGCUUCCGGAUA